AGUGAACGCUGGCGGUAGGCCUAACACAUGCAAGUCGAACAGCAGCACAGUAAGAGCUUGCUCUUACGGGUGGCGAGUGGCGGACGGGUGAGGAAUACAUCGGAAUCUACUUUUUCGUGGGGGAUAACGUAGGGAAACUUACGCUAAUACCGCAUACGACCUACGGGUGAAAGCAGGGGAUCUUCGGACCUUGCGCGAUUGAAUGAGCCGAUGUCGGAUUAGCUAGUUGGCGGGGUAAAGGCCCACCAAGGCGACGAUCCGUAGCUGGUCUGAGAGGAUGAUCAGCCACACUGGAACUGAGACACGGUCCAGACUCCUACGGGAGGCAGCAGUGGGGAAUAUUGGACAAUGGGCGCAAGCCUGAUCCAGCCAUACCGCGUGGGUGAAGAAGGCCUUCGGGUUGUAAAGCCCUUUUGUUGGGAAAGAAAGGCAGCAGGUUAAUACCCCGCUGUUCUGACGGUACCCAAAGAAUAAGCACCGGCUAACUUCGUG
rnacentral:rRNA from 1 species